AUUGAACGCUGGCGGCAUGCCUUACACAUGCAAGUCGAACGGUAACAGGUCUUCGGACGCUGACGAGUGGCGAACGGGUGAGUAAUACAUCGGAACGUGCCCAGUCGUGGGGGAUAACUACUCGAAAGAGUAGCUAAUACCGCAUACGAUCUGAGGAUGAAAGCGGGGGACCUUCGGGCCUCGCGCGAUUGGAGCGGCCGAUGGCAGAUUAGGUAGUUGGUGGGAUAAAAGCUUACCAAGGCAACGAUCGGUAGCCGGACUGAGAGGUUGAACGGCCACAUUGGGACUGAGACACGGCCCUG
rnacentral:rRNA from 1 species